UAUUAGGUUGGUGCAAAAGUGAUUUGUCAUUACUUUUAAUGGCAAAAACUGCAAUCACUUUUACACCAAGCUAAUA
ensembl:miRNA